GUCGAACGCUGGCGGCGUGCUUAACACAUGCAAGUCGAACGGAAAGGCCCUGCUUUUGUGGGGUGCUCGAGUGGCGAACGGGUGAGUAACACGUGAGUAACCUGCCCUUGACUUUGGGAUAACUUCAGGAAACUGGGGCUAAUACCGGAUAGGAGCUCCUGCUGCAUGGUGGGGGUUGGAAAGUUUCGGCGGUUGGGGAUGGGCUCGCGGCUUAUCAGCUUGUUGGUGGGGUAGUGGCUUACCAAGGCUUUGACGGGUAGCCGGCCUGAGAGGGUGACCGGCCACAUUGGGACUGAGAUACGGCCCAGACUCCUACGGGAGGCAGCAGUGGGGAAUAUUGCACAAUGGGCGGAAGCCUGAUGCAGCAACGCCGCGUGCGGGAUGACGGCCUUCGGGUUGUAAACCGCUUUCGCCUGUGACGAAGCGUGAGUGACGGUAAUGGGUAAAGAAGCACCGGCUAACUACGUG
rnacentral:rRNA from 1 species